ACGGGAGGCAGCAGUGGGGAAUAUUGCACAAUGGGGGAAACCCUGAUGCAGCGACGCCGCGUGAGUGAAGAAGUAUUUCGGUAUGUAAAGCUCUAUCAGCAGGGAAGAAAGAGUUGAAAAACACUCUUGACGGUACCUGACUAAGAAGCCCCGGCUAACUACGUGCCAGCAGCCGCGGUAAUACGUAGGGGGCAAGCGUUAUCCGGAUUUACUGGGUGUAAAGGGAGCGUAGACGGUUUGGCAAGUCUGAUGUGAAAGCCCAGGGCUUAACCCUGGGACUGCAUUGGAAACUGUUAGACUAGAGUGCAGGAGAGGUAAGUGGAAUUCCUAGUGUAGCGGUGAAAUGCGUAGAUAUUAGGAGGAACACCAGUGGCGAAGGCGGCUUACUGGACUGUAACUGACGUUGAGGCUCGAAAGCGUGGGGAGCAAACAGGAUUAGAUACCCUGGUA
rnacentral:rRNA from 1 species